GCCGCCAUGUUGCAGCAGGAUAGUAAUGAUGACACUGAAGAUGUUUCACUGUUUGAUGCAGAAGAGGAAACGACUAAUAGACCAAGAAAAUCCAAAAUCAGACAUCCAGUAGCAUCAUUUUUCCACUUGUUCUUUCGGGUCAGUGCAAUGGUCAUCUGUCUGCUCUGUGAGUUGCUCAGCAUCAGCUUUAUUACCUGUAUGGUGACAAUUAUCUUGUCGUGUGACUUUUGGGCAGUGACGAAUGUCGCAGGUAGACUCAUGGUUGGCCUACGUUGGUGGAAUCACAUUGCUGAAGAUGCAAAGAGCCACUGGGUAUUUGAAUCUAGAAAGGAGUCCUCUCGAGAGAAUAAAACUGUGUCAGAGGCUGAAUCGAGAAUCUUUUGGUUGGGACUUAUUACCUGUCCAGUGCUGUGGGUGAUAUUUGCCUUUAGUGCACUCUUCUCCUUCAGAGUAGAGUGGUUGGCAGUGGUUAUCAUGGGUGUGGUGCUACAAGGUGCCAACCUGUAUGGUUACAUCGGGUGUAAGGUGGGCAGCAGAAAGAAUUUAAGCAGCAUGGCUACUUCACAUUUUGGAAAGCAGUUCUUACGACAAAACACUGGAGAUGAUCAGACUUCCUGAAUAGAGAAAACUUACGUGCUUUGUUACAUUGGGGAACAACUGAAGAGAUUCUUGACUCUGAACCUUUUAGAGCUUAGUCCAUGUUGCAACGAGGAGUGUUGGCUCUGUUUUUCCACUUAAAAACUUGAUUUAUAAAAAGGAAAAGUAGUUUUCAUAUUAAGUUUUUAUUUGCUUUCCAGCAUUUGGGGCUAGAAAGUAUAUGCUGGCACCAGAAACAUUGUCAGGAUUUAUUCUGUGGUGUAGGUGUGCACGUGUUCCAUAGGUAUGCACACAGCCGUGUAAUAUCAGUAUAUGCCAAGUUAAUGAAAGUGGUCAUUUACAUAGGUAAUGGAAACCUUUGCAUUUUGAUCCAUAAAACAUAGGAAGAUGUUCUUAGUCUGUCUCAAAGUUCUAUGUGUUUACAUAUUAUUUCUGUAGACUAUUUUCAGGAGCAAAUUUUGCUUCCAUGGUAAGAGUGAGCACUUUGGCUUAUGUAUAAGUUAGAAAUUAUUGUUAGUUUUCAAUUUGUACUUCCUGGGGAAGUUUCUUAGACAUAUGCAAGCAAGUGAAAACAAUUAGGGCCAGUGGUAUUAAUUAUUUUCUAAAAUUUUAUUUUUAUUUGGAAGAAGUCAUUUACUUAAGGCCCAGUUAAUAUAAAUGGAAUCAUCAUAGUUUGUUUAAGGAAUACCCAGAGAUUGCUGCUGUUCUAUUUAUUUUACAGAAAGGACAGCUAGAUUGAAAGCUUUUCAGUGGACCUUGAGCUAAUAGAUCUUUUACCACUAAAAGAGCAUUAUUCUCAUGUCAUAAUGAGAAUAAUCAUUUACAUACUUGGCAUAAUAAAUGCCUAAAAGAUAUUUUAUUUUCUGAAUCUAUUUUUUUCUUGCUAUAAUGGGGAUAUUGUAAAUUAUGCAUUUGUAUUAAUGGUAUUUCUUAAAGCAUUCUGUGUAACUGUAAACCAAUCCAGAAACUAUUAUAGGCAUUUGUAAAUUCUGUUAUAGGUAUUAUAAACUUUGUUGAAGUCUUAAUCAGCAGGUUAUGUUGUGAAUAUAUUCGUACAUUGUUAAAAUAGUUUUCAAGAUUAUUUGUUUAAUUGAAUAAGUGUCUUAUUGGAGUGAUAACUUUGAAGGUGCAAAACUUUAUAUUUGUAUAAAAUUCUCCUGUUUACAAGGAAA